ensembl:lncRNA
GCAGGGGGCGUGGCCUGUCCGUUAAUUGGCUUGGCGGGAACCAGGUGCGGCGCGGAGGAGGCGAAGGGCCGCUCCGGAGUCCCGCCGCCCGCUCCUCCACCCUCCUGCUACUGACGUAGUUUAACGUUUGAGCUUCCACAGACACAUCGAGAGCUCAGAUGACGAUUACCUGCAGCAGUAAAUUCAAGACUCCCCUGGUCGAAUUUCUCCAAGGGGAAGCAAGUGGACAUCCAGACGCCUUGGGCUGAUCCCUUGGUCUGAUGGCUCCCAGCAGGAGGGGAGGACUCAGGAUGCAGCAUAAUAGGAUGCUGUAGUCACAGGACUGCUUUGGAUAAAGUGCAUAUGUGUCAGUCACAUAUUUGUUUUUUAACCUCAGCCAAUAAAAUAUAAAUUUUCUCAUCAAUCAUGAAUACGGUUUGUGCAUAAAAUUAUAAGUAACAUUGUAUUUUGUGUAUUCCUCCUUCUUAUGCUGUGUUUUUAUGUAACCGGAGUCAAAUCCACGUAUGCAUAAUCGUACAUGACGAAUAAAGCUGAUUCUGAAAAUGGGAAUAA